UAACUCAUUCGUUCUCUUUCUCUCGUUCGCUCGCUCACGUUCGGUCGCCUCUUCUCGGAAGAGAGCGCGUAUCGGCAUAGCUGCGCUACAGGCGUAAGGCCGCGCGUACGAUACCAACACACAGGCGCGAACGCGUCGUCACACCCGCCCACUCGCGCUCACCCUUUCGCUCUCUCGCAGGCGUUCACCCUCGCACUCGCACUCACACACUUGUACCUGCGAUAUAACGCGCGGAAGGCAGCCUCGCGAUGCGGCAGCCUCCACCCACUUUGCACAUGGGACUCCACCUAAUUCUCCGGCCAACACGUGCUCUCGCUCUGUGAAACGAUACCGCCGCCACCGCCGCCUCCACCGCCUCCUCCGCCGCCACCUCCUCCACCGCCACCACCUCCUCCUCCUCCGCAGCCGCUGGCCGUCCACUCUGCUUCCCCGCUCUAACUUUCCCUCUGCCCUCCUUCCGCACGAUAUAUCAAGCGAAAUUUACUUUUCUUCUCUUAUAAAUUCUAACUUCAAAGCGCGUUCCUUUGCCGUUGUUACCGCGAAACAAUCGUCAUCGUACGAUUAUUUCCCGUUAAAGUAAUUCUCCACAAUCGUAUCCGAUCCGAACUCUUGUAAAUGUUCUUACGCGCUAUACUCGAAUGCAGUCGUUACAGGUAGCUCGAGCAGCAACGAGUUUGACGAAGCUGAGAGUGCAAGGAGGUCCGAAGCACACUCGAGCGGGCACGCCGUCGCCACCACCGCCGCCGUCGCCGUCGCCACCGCCACUGCCACCGGUCGUAUCUAGCGACAACAUUCACGACAUUUAUACGAAGAAAGAAAACACAAUCGCGUGAGGAGGAUGAUGAUCGUUCGGGAUCAAGCGCGAUUCGCAACGUGACUUCGUUGGUAGGCGCGGACGGGAGGACGCGUUCGCAUAUGUGUGAGUGUUCAUCCACAUAAGAGAAUUGUUCGUGUAAGUGUGCGCGCAGGGCACGCGUCAAAUACGUGGGACGCGCCGUUUCGUUCGUCCCUCGCGUUCACGGAAACAAGGCCACGAAUCCAGCUCCGAAAGAGGACUACUUUCAUCGGUGGGGCGGCGCGCAAGCAGCACCGUUCACCGUACCCGAGGACGACCGAUGGUGGCUCCGAUUGGUCGAACGCGUCGCUCCACGACCGAAACUCGUUACGCAGGGGCGUACGCGCUAACCGUCGGACGCCCACCCCAACCGAGGGGCUAAACCACCUCCUACUUUCACUCUGGCCUUACUUCCCCUCUUUUUGUCCCGUGAAUCCUCCUCUCCCCUCCAUCUCAUCCCUCCUCACCCUAUUCUGGAGGCCGCAACUAAGCGGAUCACGAGGCUCGUUCUAAGGAACACAGCCCCUCUCUUUCUUUCUCUCUCUCUCUCUUUCUUUCUUUUUUUCUCUUACUCUCCCUUCUUUCUUUUUCUUGUUUUUCUUUUGUCCCUUUGGGUCGCCUUAUUUUGUCGUACCUUCCGCCCCGCAGAUGGUUUAAGAAAAGGGAGAAAUAGAAAGUUUUGCUUUGCUAUUAUAGUAUACAGUUUAAAUCUCUUUGCCCUUUCGUCGGAUACCUUCAGUUUAUGGACGAAGACCUUGGCCUUUUAUUAUACAGUGCAUUGUUUACCUCCUACCUCUAAAUUUCGAAAUAUCAUCUGUUGUUAGUCUAAUAUUUUACGCACAGGACCAAUAUAUGAAUUUAUUUUAUUUCUUUUUUUAUUUUUAUUUUUUGUUAAUUAUAUUAGUGUACUGCUAAAUCUAAAUAUAUUUAGAAUAAGAAAAAUCAAUAAACAAUUGUAUCUUUCUGA